AGUGAACGCUGGCGGUAGGCCUAACACAUGCAAGUCGAACGGCAGCACAGUAAGAGCUUGCUCUUACGGGUGGCGAGUGGCGGACGGGUGAGGAAUACAUCGGAAUCUACUUUUUCGUGGGGGAUAACGUAGGGAAACUUACGAUAAUACCGCAUACGACCUACGGGUGAAAGCAGGGGAUCUUCGGACCUUGCGCGAUUGAAUGAGCCGAUGUCGGAUUAGCUAGUUGGCGGGGUAAAGGCCCACCAAGGCGACGAUCCGUAGCUGGUCUGAGAGGAUGAUCAGCCACACUGGAACUGAGACACGGUCCAGACGCCUACGGGAGGCAGCAGUGGGGAAUAUUGGACAAUGGGCGCAAGCCUGAUCCAGCCAUACCGCGUGGGGGAAGAAGGCCUUCGGGUUGUAAAGCCCUUUUGUUGGGAAAGAAAAGCAGCAGGUUAAUACCCCGCUGUGCUGACGGUACCCAAAGAAUAAGCACCGGCUAACUUCGUG
rnacentral:rRNA from 1 species